GGUUUCUUGUUUAUUUAGGAAAUCUAACCUGCCCACUGAAUUUUUUGAAGGGCCGCAGUAUUUUGACUGUGCAAAGGUAGCAUAAUCAUUAGUCUUUUAAUUAAAGGCUGGUAUGAAUGGUUGGAUGAGGUGAAUUCUGUCUUAUAAUAAUUAGAACUGAAAUUAGAAUUUAAGUAAAAAUACUUAAAUAUUAUUAGGGGACGAGAAGACCCUAUAGAGUUUAAUAAUAAAUUUAAUUAAUUAUGUUAAUUUAAAAUUUUUAAUUAAUUAAAAAAAUUAUUUGAUUGGGGUGAUUUAAAGAUAUAAAAAACUCUUUAUUAAAUUAAAUAUUAUAGGAAGAUAUAUGAUCCAUAAAAUUAUGAUUAAAAGAUUAAAUUACCUUAGGGAUAACAGCAUAAUUCUUUUUAAGAGUUCAUAUCGAAAAAAGAGAUUGUGACCUCGAUGUUGGAUUAAGAUAAGUUUUGGGUGUAGAUGUUUUAAAAUAAGGUCUGUUCGACCUAUAAAUUCUUACA
rnacentral:rRNA from 1 species